rnacentral:tRNA from 1 species
GGAGUAGAUAGGUGCUGGUGUGCCUCCUGGUCUUCAAAACCUGUGAUAGCGGUUAACUCCCGCUUAGGUGGGUUCGAUUCCCACAUACUUCC